CAAGGACUGUCUUGAUUUUAAUAUCUCUAAUAUGUCCUGUCCAGUAAGAAGGGAGAUCUCUGCCCUCAAGGUUCUCGUCUUGGGAGUUCCUAAAUCAGGUAAGGAGAAAGAAAACUUUCCAUAUUACUGGCGUUCCUUAGGUCCCAUCCCAACGACAGUGCCGGAACCUCCGUGCCAGCUCUGAUUUUCCGCACGGGGCAUAUGGCGAGUUACCCUUCCCCCAAGGCGAGCCGCGGGUGCGGUGUCUGUGAGUUCUCGGUGCAGCGACUCAGAUCUCUUUCGGCGCAGGCAGAAGGCGAAGGUUAAGAAAGGGAGAUCUACAGUCCUAUGUCCAAAGAGUUUAUUCUCUGAAUCAGAGACAAACAGACAGCCCGACCCCGGGCGCGGCGGGCUAUAUACCACAAGGGUCGAACAGUCACUUGUGGCCAAUCGCGGGGAAGCACAAAAGACCUACAUUAUACAGAACACCCAAAACAGAAACCACCCAAUAUUCUACAGUUUGUGGCAAAAAAAGUUGAUGUCCAGAAGUCAACCCCUGAAAAUGAUCAGCAGCAUAUUUCUUCACUCCAAAUGGAGGAGAAAAACAACAUGCUACUGCACCAUCAUGUGCCUUGUCAAUGACAUCUACAUGUUCCCCUUUGAGUGCCAGAAAGCAGUAGCUCCUUUGGCUGGACCAAAUCCUAGCAUCCCAUCUGUGGUGACAAAAGAAACCAAGGGGUAGUUUUAUUGCUUAUUAUUUAGCAAAAAAGAUAUGUAAAUGUUGAUAGGAAAUAGUUUCAGAGACAAGUUAAUUGCUCUUAUUUUAGUGACUCAUGUAAAGCAUCAACAUAGAAGCAGCCAUUUGGCAAAAGUAUUAGUGUUGGAGUCCAGGAUAUUCCUCUGGCCGCCCUGGAGGAUUUGAAGACUGUACAGGGGGGUCUGGGAUCUGUACAGGGGGCUCAGUUAGACCCACACAGAUCCCAGGAGGACACUGAUUCUGAUUGCUGUGCAUGGGAGUGAACACUCACAUGCAGGAAGAAUCACGAAUCCUAAGAAUUUAGAAUAAGUAGUGGAUGGUUUAUUAUAGAAUAUAAAUAUAGAAAAUAGGAUUCUUAGUAUAUGGGGCUGAAGAGGCAAGAUGGAGGAAUUGGGGAGUGGCCCCUGUCCUCCUAGUUCUUGCUCUCGUUCCCCAUCUUGUGCUGAGUUGGGUUUUAGAGAUUGGCUUAGAGUAGAACUGACAUGUUAGUAUAGGUAAUAGGUAUUGGUAAAAUUUUGUAAAUAAAAAAUAUGUCUCGGACAGUGGUUGGGUCAAAGAUACCGUACUUAAGGUGCAGGGCUCUCUGAUCCGCCCAGUCCAUCCGCGUGUCUUGCUUUGCUGGGGAUGCCUUGCAAAGCUGGACAAGAACUGAUAGAUAAUUAAGAAUAAACAGCUUGAUAACACGAACUACUGGACUCAACUUGUCGUCUCUGGCUUCGGUGUGAAACACCCAGGGCGAAGAGAA